UACGAAGGGGGCUAGCGUUGCUCGGAAUUACUGGGCGUAAAGGGCGCGUAGGCGGUUAGUUUAGUCAGAGGUGAAAGCCCAGGGCUCAACCUUGGAAUUGCCUUUGAUACUGGCUGUCUUGAGUACGGGAGAGGUGAGUGGAACUCCGAGUGUAGAGGUGAAAUUCGUAGAUAUUCGGAAGAACACCAGUGGCGUAGGCGACUCAAUGGCUCGUAUCUGACGCUCAGGCGCGAUAGCGUGGGGAUCAAACAGG
rnacentral:rRNA from 1 species